rnacentral:rRNA from 1 species
UCCAGACUCCUACGGGAGGCAGCAGUGAGGAAUAUUGGUCAAUGGCCGGGAGGCUGAACCAGCCAAGUCGCGUGAGGGAAGACGGCCCUACGGGUUGUAAACCUCUUUUGUCAGGGAGCAAGGUGCAGGUCGGGACCUGCUGUGAGAGUACCUGAAGAAAAAGCAUCGGCUAACUCCGUGCCAGCAGCCGCGGUAAUACGGAGGAUGCGAGCGUUAUCCGGAGUGACUGGGUGUAAAGAGUUGCGUAGGUGGCAUAAUAAGUAGCUAGUGAAAUCUGGUGGCUCAACCAUUCAGACUAUUAGCUAAACUGUUAAGCUCGAGACCGUUAGGGGUAACUGGAAUUUCUAGUGUAGGAGUGAAAUCCGUAGAUAUUAGAAGGAACACCAAUAGCGUAGGCAGGUUGCUGGGACGGUUCUGACACUAAGGCACGAAAGCGUAGGGAGCAAACGGGAUUAGAUACCCUGGUA